CUGCAGUCUGCUCCUGUACCUCAGGUGGAGCUAGCUGGACAGACGGAUGAUCUAUUCACGAUAAUACUCAGUUAAUAAGAUAUUUUUCAUUUUUUCUAAACCUAGACUACUAGAUUACACUGCCUAAGAAAUUCAAACUCAAAAAUUCUACCGAAAGUUCAGAAGAACCUCCUCUAAAAUAUAGACGUUUACCCCUGUAUAAUUGGUCCAGAACCUGCUAGAAACACUUUAAAUAUUUUGUAAUUAAUUAACGGAAUCGGGCCACCAAAACUGUAUUAUUUUUUCCCGACUCCGCAACACACCAUAGAUCACAAUUAAUUGCAGACGCUCCGUCAUUAAUAUUUAUUUCACAACCAACCCACACAAAACUUUUCUGGUAUUUAAACUAAUUAAACACAACAACAUCUACCACAAAGAACAAUAAUUAAUCAUACUAAUUAAUUUACAAUAUUUAUAUCUAAGUCCUAAUUAAUUAAAUCUAAUUAAAUUAAAUUAUUUCUAUUUGAUAAUUAAUAGCAACAAUAUUUUUUAAAAUUAUAAAAUAAUUUUUAAGGUCCACACAAACUGAUACCGAAAUUAUGUGCAUCUCGAAAACACCGGGGUCUGAAAGUCGGUACUACCAAUGGUGGAUUUCGAAUCCGCAACCGCCUACGUGAAGCUUGAGUUGCGGGGAGUCCGAAAAUGUAACUACUUUUGCCGAAAACUCGCCGGAAGCCAAUGAAUCGAGGCCGGAAAGUCUCGACUCCAGCGAGACUGCAUACUGCUACCCAUCAGGGAUGACGCGGCUGGUAAGCUCGGCUCGGGAGUUUUCGACAGCGGGGAGCUCGUUUCUAGCGUCGGGUGAGCGAAAGAACGGCGACAAGAGGUUGUUUCAGCGAUGGCAACUCCUCUUUCCCAUGCUUGAUGUCGGUAGCGAGCCGGGAGGAAGGAAAAGGUGGCGCUGCUAAGGAAAGGGAAGAAAAAGGAGAAGCUUCCGACAGUUGGAAGGAGGUGCAGGCGAUGAAAGAAAAAAAGAAAGGGAGGUGACGGAGGUGAGGGAUGGGGAGAGGAAGAGAGAAAGAAGAGAAAAAAAGUUUUCUUUUAUUUUUAUAUAUUUUUUAUUUUUAAUCUUUUUAUUUGUGGGUAUUACACUGCUGCCAUUGAUUCUACUACGGGCCUGUGCGACUUUACGUUGCCGCAACUUGGCUCUC
rnacentral:lncRNA from 1 species